rnacentral:rRNA from 1 species
AGUGGCGCACGGGUGCGUAACACGUAUGCAACCUACCUUUGACUGGGAGAUAGCCCCGAGAAAUCGGGAUUAAUACCCCAUAAAAUUAUGGCAUCUAAAGCUCCGGUCUUAGAUGGGCAUGCGCGACAUUAGCUUGUUGGUGAGGUAACGGCUCACCAAGGCUACGAUGUCUAGGGGUUCUGAGAGGAUUCACCCCCACACUGGUACUGAGACACGGACCAGACUCCUACGGGAGGCAGCAGUAAGGAAUAUUGGUCAAUGGACGCAAGUCUGAACCAGCCAUGCCGCGUGCAGGAUGACAGCCUAUGGGUUGUAAACUGCUUUUGUACGGGAAAAAUGAUGGUACCGUAAGAAUAAGCAUCGGCUAACUCCGUGCCAGCAGCCGCGGUAAUACGGAGGAUGCAAGCGUUAUCCGGAUUCAUUGGGUUUAAAGGGUGCGCAGGCGGAAUGAUAAGUCAGUGGUGAAAUCC